rnacentral:rRNA from 1 species
AGUCUGGUGCCAGCAGCCGCGGUAAUUCCAGCUCCAGUAGCGUAUGCUAAAGUUGUUGCAGUUAAAAAGCUCGUAGUUGGAUUUCUGGCGUGAGAACGCUGGCCCGCCGGGGUUACCCGUGUGAGUGCCGGCUGUUCUCUGCCAUCCUUCUAGAGAACGCGUCUGCCUUUCAUUAGGUCGGGCGCGCAAUCUAGAUCAUUUACUUUGAGAAAAUUAGAGUGUUUAAAGCAGGCUUGCGCUAUGAAUACAUUAGCAUGGAAUAAUAAUAUAGGGCUUCGGUUCUAUUUUGUUGGUUUCUAGGACUGAAGUAAUGAUUGAUAGGGAUAGUUGGGGGUGCUAGUAUUCAGCGGCCAGAGGUGAAAUUCUUGGAUUCGCUGAAGACUAACUACUGCGAAAGCAUUCACCAAGGAUGUCUUCUUUAAUCAAGAACGAAAGUUGGGGGAUCGAAGACGAUCAGAUACCGUCGUAGUCUCAACCAUAAACUAUGCCGACUAGGGAUUAGUGAACGUUGCAUUUACGACUUCAUUAGCACCUUAUGAGAAAUCAAAGUUUUUGGGUUCCGGGGGGAGUAUGGUCGCAAGGCUGAAACUUGAAGGAAUUGACGGAAGGGCACCACCAGGAAUGGAGCCUGCGGCUUAAUUUGACCCAACACGGGGAAACUUACCAGGUCCAGACAUAGUGAGGAUUGACAGAUUGAAGAUCUUUCUUGAUUCUAUGGGUGUGGUGCAUGGCCGUUCUUAGUUGGUGGAGUGAUUUGUCUGGUUAAUUCCGUUAACCAACGAGACCUCGACCUGCUAAAUAGUGUGGCGAUUCCUCCGGGAAUCGAACAAACUUCUUAGAGGGACUAUCGGUGUGUAGCCGGUGGAAGUUCGAGGCAAUAACAGGUCUGUGAUGCCCUUCGAUGUUCUGGGCCGCACGCGCGCUACACUGACACGUUCAACAAGUUUACAACCUUGGGUGAGAGCUCCGGGUAAUCUCUGAAAACGUGUCGUGCUGGGGAUAGAUUAUUGCAAUUUUUAAUCUUAAACGAGGAAUUCCUAGUAAACGCAAGUCAUCAGCUUGCAUUGAUUACGUCCCUGCCCUUUGUACACACCGCCCGUCGCUACUACCGAUUGGAUGGCUUAGUGAGUACCACGGAUCGUCACCCUUAGCGGGGUUUCUCGCUUUGGGUGCUGAAAAGUGGUUCAAACUUGAUCAUCUAGAGGAAGUAAAAGUCGUAACAAGGU